rnacentral:rRNA from 1 species
CCUACGGGAGGCAGCAGUGAGGAAUAUUGGUCAAUGGACGAGAGUCUGAACCAGCGAAGCAGCGUGAAGGAUGACUGCCCUCUGGGUUGUAAACUUCUUUUAUAUGGGAAUAAAAUGUUCCAAGCGUGGGAUUUUGUAUGUACCAUAUGAAUAAGGAUCGGCUAACUCCGUGCCAGCAGCCGCGGUAAUACGGAGGAUCCGAGCGUUAUCCGGAUUUAUUGGGUUUAAAGGGAGCGUAGGUGGAUUGUUAAGUCAGUUGUGAAAGUUUGCGGCUCAACCGUAAAAUUGCAGUUGAAACUGGCGGUCUUGAGUGAAGUAGAGGUGGGCGGAAUUCGUGGUGUAGCGGUGAAAUGCUUAGAUAUCACGAAGAACUCCGAUUGCGAAGGCAGCUCACUGGACUGCAACUGACACUGAGGCUCGAAAGUGUGGGUAUCAAACAGGAUUAGAUACCCUUGUAGUC